GUAGUCCACGCCCUAAACGAUGUCAACUGGGUGUUGGGGGAGCGAUCUCCUGGUACCGUAGCUAACGCGUGAAGUUGACCGCCUGGGGAGUACGGCCGCAAGGUUAAAACUCAAAGGAAUUGACGGGGACCCGCACAAGCGGUGGAUGAUGUGGAUUAAUUCGAUGCAACGCGAACAACCUUACCUACCCUUGACAUGUGCCGAAGCCCGGUGAGAGCCGGGUGUGCCUGAAAGGGAACGGCAACACAGGUGCUGCAUGGCUGUCGUCAGCUCGUGUCGUGAGAUGUUGGGUUAAGUCCCGCAACGAGCGCAACCCUUGUCCCUAGUUGCUACGCAAGGGCACUCUAGGGAGACUGCCGGUGACAAACCGGAGGAAGGUGGGGAUGACGUCAAGUCCUCAUGGCCCUUAUGGGUAGGGCUUCACACGUCAUACAAUGGCCGGUACAGAGGGUUGCCAACCCGCGAGGGGGAGCCAAUCCCAGCAAAGCCGGUCGUAGUCCGGAUUGCAGUCUGCAACUCGACUGCAUGAAGUCGGAAUCGCUAGUAAUCGCGGAUCAGCAUGCCGCGGUGAAUA
rnacentral:rRNA from 1 species